rnacentral:rRNA from 1 species
AACGAACGCUGGCGGCAUGCCUAACACAUGCAAGUCGAACGAGACCUUCGGGUCUAGUGGCGCACGGGUGCGUAACACGUGGGAAUUUGCCUCGGGGUAUGGAAUAACUCAGGGAAACUUGAGCUAAUACCAUAUAAUGUCUUCGGACCAAAGAUUUAUCGCCCUGAGAUAAGCCCGCGUAGGAUUAGCUAGUUGGUGAGGUAAAGGCUCACCAAGGCGACGAUCCUUAGCUGGUCUGAGAGGAUGAUCAGCCACACUGGGACUGAGACACGGCCCAGACUCCUACGGGAGGCAGCAGUGGGGAAUAUGGACAAUGGGCGAAAGCCUGAUCCAGCAAUGCCGCGUGAGUGAUGAAGGCC